rnacentral:rRNA from 1 species
UAAUUCCUGUGGCCCGCGAAAUUUCGCCCUUACAGUUUGAUCCUGGCUGACGGAUGAAACGCUUAGCGGCAGGCUUACCACAUGCAAGUCGAGGCGAAGAGAGUUCUUCCCCUCUUGUACCGCCGUAGGGUCGUAAGCGUAUGCCAUCUACUUUUAAUGUCUGUCCCCAAAAAUUUAUUUAACCCUCAUAUCUUUAUUGGGACUUUUUUUGUUAAUUAAGCUAGACCGGUAAAAUAAGCCUGGGUCUUUUACCUAAUUGAUUGUAAAGGCCCCCUUUUCCAAAUUAAAUAGGCCUUAAAAAGAAAUUUCCAACAUUUUUUAUGAAUUCUUUGCCAAUCCCUGGGGGCCCGGGAAAAUAUUUGUUUUGGGAAAGCCUAUUCCACGGGCUUUCUUUCGGGCCUAGUUUGACCGUUUUUAAGGGAAAAAACCCCCCCCUCGGGGGGUGUGGGGCCCCUAAAAAAAAAAGGGCUGCUAUCUCUCGCCCCCCCCCCCCCGGGUUUAUUAGAAAA